UCCCUGGUGGCUAUGAUUAGUGGCUAGCAUGCGGCACUCUCGUCGCUGUGGCCCGGGUUCGAUUCUUGGUCAGGGAA